AAUGGAAAAGCUAUUUGUCAUUAAAUUAAACUUUAUGCAGUUACAUUUAAAUAUGAGCUGUUCCCACACAUCACUAAAAUCAGGUCCAGGCAUUGUCCCUCUCUUCCAUGCAGCACUCAGCAGGGCAUAGUCUGCAUCAGAUGUAUUUGCAGCAUUGAAAAUAUUCAUUUUUGUAUAUGCACAACACGUUCUCACUCCCAACUCGUCAAAUGUGUGACGCAUGGUCAGGCUCCCUCUGCUUCACUUAUCGACGCGCAGGGUACCCCCCUGGCGUCGAGAAUUGACGUGCGGGGUCCUCCUAUUGAAUACUAUACUGAUCCCUAAUCGUUGCUUAUUGACGACAAGAGAUUUCCGCGGAAGAGCCUGUUGUUCGUAUAUUUAUACAUUUCCAAAAUCACAUUGUAGUGACGUGUACUGAACACAAUAUAUUAUAUAAUGUAAACAACUACCUGAGAAACAGCAGAUACAGCAGAUAAAUUAAUUAUAGGCCAUUACUUUUGUAUCGUUUAUUGCAUUUAUGGAGGGAGAGGUGUAUGCUGGGUAAUGGCACAGCUAGCGACCGGGUGACUUUAUUCACCCGCUUCGGCUGUUAUCAGUCCAUACAAUGGGCGUUAUUAGCAGAAAUCAGUCCCAUAGAUGUGGGCCAUCUCCUGCUAGAUUGUUCAGAAGGUUGUUAUCAUCCAUCCAGAUGGAGGAUCACUAACAGGAGCGUGGAAGACUCCAGAAUCCACUCUGGCUGGAAUCCGGUGGAUACAGCAGUGUUACAGAACAGUUCUCCACAGUCGCUGUCCACGUGGGUCAGUGGGACCAAGCAGCACUCUGCUAAUGUGUGGACUCUGACCAGCAACAUCCAGCAAGACCCAGGCAGCGUUUUCUAUCUCCCAGCUGGAGUUUUUUGUUUGUCUGUGACUGGAGAGUCAGAUUUUUGUUGAGGCUGGAGGAACAGAGAAGUUAAUACACGAUACUGAUCCCUGAUGGGAGAAUCAUCACCUCUGCCAACAAAGAAGCCUGGUGGAUGUUUGUUUGCAGUCUGAUGAUGGGACAUCAUGCUCUGCAUCUUCAAAUCUUUUUGCAGGAUCAGAAAACAAAACCAGGAUGGCCGUAAAUGUUUCUUCUCCAAUUGGAUGAUUAUAAGACUGUGACACGGGAUGUCACCUUUAGUCUUGUGAUGAAGCAAAGCUCAGGACGAAGUGUGAUUAAAUGGUACCCACAUGUGUGCUGCUGAGAAGGAUGUUCAAGGGCACCUGCAGCCAAAUCCAAGCCUCCUCAGCAACUUCAAGUCUGUCAGCGUGCUGAGGUCACAGAAACAAGAAAAGAAGCUUCAGAGUGUUGUUUACAGUUUUCUGUCAUCAUGAUCUCCCCUGAAGUUUAUCACUAUUAGGCAAGCAAGCAGAGCGGCAGUUUGUGCUCACAGAUGGUGACGGUGUGGAGAGACGGUGGUGUUUCCUCAGAAGAACUAGCAGAGUCACCAAGGGCACGAGUCCAUCUCACCACCUUGACUUGCUGACUGAUGCUCGUCUGCACUGCACAGAGGAAAUCAACUGACCGAGGAGUGUUUCUGGGUGAGGGAGAGAGGAGUCAUCAUCCAGGUAAAGUGACGUGGAUCAGUGGAUACACUUGUCUCCCCUUUAAAGGAGAUAGAGAGACGAUCCGAGUCAUCCCUAAAUAUGGGCAGGAUAUCAGUCUUGGACUGUCUAACCUGCCGGAGCAGCACUAAAUGACCACCACACAUGGGCAUGUUCCUGCAACAUUCAGCAGCUUUGCUUUUGGGUCAAAGGUCAACCAGCUGGAGAGGAAACUACACCAGUGUACUGGGAUGUUUCACCAACACGUGCCAGAUGCUGUUCCUUCAUGGUGACAUCACCAGAGACAGCCCCGCCCACCUCAGGACCUCGCCAUUGAUCAUGAUGAUUUUAAUGAUGACAGCGAGCGGAACUAAGACUGUAAAAAUCAGAAUGUUUAGAUGCUUUCUAAUUAUUAAUGAAUACUGAGAGCCUCUUUCUGUGUUUUGUUUUUUUGGGGUUGUUUUUUUUUACCUCAUUUGUUACUAACAAAGUUCACCAAACUCACACAGUUUACAUUCUGUAUGUUUCCAUCUUUACCAGCCACACUCUGCCUGCAUUUAGAAAACAAACAUUAGAAAUCGUCGUUUUUCUCUUUUGUAAUUUUGUAAUUCAGUGAAUAUACUGCGCUGCUUCCUUUUAUUGCGUCUCACAUUGCUUUAAGUUUUUCCAGUGUCCAGCUAUUUUUUACUGCUGUUUGAAUUCUCUGUAUGUUUGACCCUGUAAACUGUUUGAUGGACUGCUUGUCUUCCUGUUUGUAACCACCGCCUGUUUUUGACUAAAGAUUUGGAU